UCACAGGUUCCUGCUUCACCAGGUCGAUCCAGUCUGAGAGUCACAGUCCGGGCUCCUCCACAAAUCAUGGAGUCAACCAGGAUGAAACUCAUGUGUACGGCUCUCUUCAACAUGGUACUGCUGAUAUCUAUGAAUCAGUCACACAAGUGACAAACAGAAAUGGUACAGUAUAUGUACUGAAAAGCAC